rnacentral:tRNA from 1 species
ACGGGUGUAGCUCAGCUGGUAGAGUAGUGGUCUCCAAAACCAUUGGUCGUGGGUUCGAAUCCUACCGCCCGUGCUA